rnacentral:rRNA from 1 species
AAACGGUAACAGGAUAGCUUGCUAUCGCUGACGAGUGGCGGACGGGUGAGUAAUACUUAGGGAUCUGCCUCUGUGUGGGGGAUAACUAUUGGAAACGAUAGCUAAUACCGCAUAAUGUCUACGGACCAAAGCGGGCUUCGGCUCGUGCGCAGAGAGGAACCUAAGCGAGAUUAGCUAGUUGGUGAGGUAAAGGCUCACCAAGGCGACGAUCUCUAGCUGUUCUGAGAGGAAGAUCAGCCACACUGGAACUGAGACACGGUCCAGACUCCUACGGGAGGCAGCAGUGGGGAAUAUUGCACAAUGGGGGAAACCCUGAUGCAGCCAUGCCGCGUGUGUGAAGAAGGCCUUCGGGUUGUAAAGCACUUUCAGUUGUGAGGAAAGUUUAGUAGUAAUACCUGCUAGAUGUGACGUUAGCAACAGAAGAAGCACCGGCUAACUCCGUGCCAGCAGCCGCGGUAAUACGGAGCGGUGCGAGCGUUAAUCGGAAUUACUGGGCGUAAAGCGCACGCAGGCGGUCUGUUAAGCUAGAUGUGAAAGCCCCGCGCUCAACGUGGGAG